rnacentral:rRNA from 1 species
UACGGGAGGCAGCAGUGAGGAAUAUUGGUCAAUGGGCGCGAGCCUGAACCAGCCAAGUAGCGUGCAGGACGACUGCCCUAUGGGUUGUAAACUGCUUUUAUCAGGGAAUAAAGUGAGGCACGUGUGCCUUUUUGUAUGUACCUGAUGAAUAAGGACCGGCUAAUUCCGUGCCAGCAGCCGCGGUAAU